CAGCCGCCCGGUAAUACGAAGGGCGCAAGCGUUAAUCGGAAUUACUGGGCGUAAAGCGUGCGUAGGCGGUUUGUUAAGUCUGCUGUGAAAUCCCCGGCCUCAACCUGGGAAUGGCAGUGGAUACUGGCAAGCUAGAGUGUGUCAGAGGAUGGUGGAAUUCCCGGUGUAGCGGUGAAAUGCGUAGAGAUCGGGAGGAACAUCAGUGGCGAAGGCGGCCAUCUGGGACAACACUGACGCUGAGGCACGAAAGCGUGGGGAGCAAACAGGAUUAGAUACCCCUGUAGUCCCUGUCUCUUAUACA
rnacentral:rRNA from 1 species